UUGACCUCGGAUCAGGUAGAGGGAUACCCGCUGAACUUAAGCAUAUCAA
rnacentral:rRNA from 1 species